rnacentral:rRNA from 1 species
UGGCGGCGUGGAUACGCAUGCAAGUCGAACGGGGCAAGUNUGUAGCAAUACAACUUGGUUCAGUGGCGCACGGGUGCGUAACACGUGAGCAAUCUGCCGGGAAGUGGGGGAUAGCUCGCCGAAAGGCGAAUUAAUACCGCAUGUGGCCAUCCUUCGAGUGGAGGAAAAGCCAAAGCAGCAAUGCGCUUCCUGAUGAGCUCGCGGCCUAUCAGCUCGAUGGCGGGGUAAUGGCCCACCAUGGCUUUGACGGGUAGCUGGUCUGAGAGGACGACCAGCCACACUGGAACUGAGAUACGGUCCAGACACCUACGGGUGGCAGCAGUCGAGAAUUUUUCACAAUGGGGGAAACCCUGAUGGAGCGACGCCGCGUGGAGGAUGAAGGCCUUCGGGUUGUAAACUCCUGUCAUGCGGGAACAAGCAAGUGAUAGUACCGCAAGAGGAAGAGACGGCUAACUCUGUGCCAGCAGCCGCGGUAAUACAGAGGUCUCAAGCGUUGUUCGGAUUCAUUGGGCGUAAAGGGUGCGUAGGUGGUGGCGCAAGUCUGGUGUGAAAUCUCGGAGCUCAACUCCGAAAUUGCACCGGAUACUGCGUGACUCGAGGACUGUAGAGGAGAUCGGAAUUCACGGUGUAGCAGUGAAAUGCGUAGAUAUCGUGAGGAAGACCAGUUGCGAAGGCGGAUCUCUGGGCAGUUCCUGACACUGAGGCACGAAGGCCAGGGGAGCAAACGGGAUUAGAUACCUCGGUAGUCCUGGCAGUAAACGGUGCACGUUUGGUGUGGGCGGGUUCAGACCCCGUCCGUGCCGGAGCUAACGCGUUAAACGUGCCGCCUGGGAAGUACGGUCGCAAGAUUAAAACUCAAAGAAAUUGACGGGGGCCCGCACAAGCGGUGGAGUAUGUGGCUUAAUUCGAUGCAACGCGAAGAACCUUACCUGGCCUUGACAUGCAUUGUGUCCCCGAUGAAAGUCGGGUAUCCUGCAGCAAUGUAGGAACUGUGCACAGGUGCUGCAUGGCUGUCGUCAGCUCGUGUCGUGAGAUGUUGGGUUAAGUCCCGCAACGAGCGCAACCCCUGGUGGCUGUUGCACGUACCAGCCGCAACUGCCCGUCGCAAACGGGAGGAAGGUGGGGAUGACGUCAAAUCAGCAUGGCCUGUAUGUCCGGGGCGACACACACGCUACAAUGGCCAGCACAAUGCGCUGCCAACCCGCAAGGGGGAGCAAAUCGUCAAAGCUGGUCACAGUUCGGAUUGGGGUCUGCAACCCGACCCCAUGAAGGUGGAGUUGCUAGUAACCGCGCGUCAGCCAUAGUGCGGUGAUACGUUCCCGGGCAUUGUACUCACCGCCCGUNCAG